rnacentral:tRNA from 1 species
GCCUUCGUGGUGUAAUGGUUAGUACACUCGGCGCGUAUUCGAGAGACCUGAGGUUAGAGUCCCGGUGACGGUA